AAGAGAUUAACUUAGUGGUAAAGUGGCCAUCUUACACGUGGUUUACCGGUGUUCGAUUCACCGAUUUCUUA
rnacentral:tRNA from 1 species